rnacentral:sRNA from 1 species
UACACAAAACUAAAAGUAAAAGCAUAGAUUUAUUUCAUCUAUGGAAAUACUAAUGAAAAUUUACUCACUAUCACUAAUGUGACGGCUGCAAUCAAGGCGAAGAUUCUUAUAGCGAUGGGUAUCGUUGUUUCCGUUCUGGACUCUUCUUUCAUAAGCAAUGCUCCAACUCCGAUAUAGAGAUCCAUAAUCUCUAUCAUCCACAACAUUCUUUGCAUAUCAAAGUAGUUGCUGAAAAUGAAGAUGUACAUGAAAAAUGCAAGCUUUGUAGAGGUAACUUGCCAAAGAUGUAUUACUAUUGUUCUACAUGUGACUUUGCUAUCGAUUUGGUAUGCGCA